rnacentral:rRNA from 1 species
GACGAACGCUGGCGGCGUGCUUAACACAUGCAAGUCGAACGAAGGGGCGAACGGGUGCAUAACGCGUAAUCAACCUGCCCUUAAGAGGGGGACUACAGUUGGAGACGACUGCUAAUACCGCAUCCUGAAGGUGGGGAGUGAGUCUGAUUAGCGAGUUGGAGGGGUAACGGCCCACCAAGGCGAUGAUCAGUAGCCGGUCUGAGAGGGUGAACGGCCACAUUGGGAAUGAGACACGGGCCAGACUCCUACGGGAGGAAGCAAUGGGGAAGCGUCCGCAAUGGACGAAAGGCUGACGGAGAAACGCCGCGUGAGUGAUGACGGCCUUCGGGUUGUAAAGCUCUGUUAAUCGGGACGCGGUACCGGAAUAGAAAGCCACGGCUAACUACGUGCCAGCAGCCGCGGUAAUUC